UACGUAGGGUGCAAGCGUUUAAUCGGAAUUACUGGGCGUAAAGCGUGCGCAGGCGGUUUUGUAAGUCUGUCGUGAAAUCCCCGGGCUCAACCUGGGAAUUGCGAUGGAGACUGCAAGACUAGAAUCUGGCAGAGGGGGGUAGAAUUCCACGUGUAGCAGUGAAAUGCGUAGAGAUGUGGAGGAACACCGAUGGCGAAGGCAGCCCCCUGGGUCAAGAUUGACGCUCAUGCACGAAAGCGUGGGGAGCAAACAGG
rnacentral:rRNA from 1 species